CACUGCUCCAGAGUCCAAUGGCGGGGAGCUUUACACCACUCCAGUUGACGCUUGGCAUUGCACAUGGUGAUCUUAGGUUUGUGUGCGGCUGCUCAGCCAUGGAAAGCCAUUUCGUGAAGCUCCCGACGAAUAGUUAUUGUGCUGACGUUGCUUCCAGAGGCAGUUUGGAACUGGUAGUGAGUGUUGCAACUGAGGACAGGCAAUUUUUACGCUCCACCCACGUUCAGCACUCGGCAGUCCCGUUCUGUGAGCUUGUGUGGCCUACCAUUUUGCAGCUGAGACGUAGUUGCUCCUAGACACUUCCACUUCACAAUAACAACACUUACAGUUGACCGGGGCAGCUCAAGCAAGGCAGAAAUUUGAUGAAAUUACUUGUUGGAAAGGUGGCGUGCUAUGACGGUGCCAUGUUGAAAGUCACUGAGCUCUUCAGUAAGUCCAUUCUACUGCAAACGUUUGUCUAUGGAGACUGCAUGGCUGCGUGCUCGAUUGUAUGCACCUGUUAGUAACGGGUGUGGUAGAAAUAGGUGAAUCCACUAAUUUGAAGGGGUGUCCACAUACUCCGUCAUUGGAAGGAAGAGCAAAUCGAUUCAUUUUCUGGAUGGGCUAUGGAAAUUUGGGGUUUGAAACCUGACACAGAGUGGAAGCGGAGAGCAGACAGAUGGUGCUUUCUGGCUAUUAGGCACGGGACUCUGCAACGUUCACAGAGCGCUUUAUACACCAACAUGUAAGUGGAACCGGCCCAGAACCGCCCAUAUAGGGGACUUAACAUACUGCAAUUGUUUUUUUUAACAAUGUCUCUCUGUACCGAUACAAAAGUCUCAUCGUCAGAGCUGCCUCCGCCGCUGUCUACCAUUGUUCCUCUUCUUCCUCUACUGUUCCACAUCCCCCUCAUCGGCCUGAACAGGGUGCGGAAAAGACACCAAGAGGGACCAGCCAGGGUGAUCUACACGGACCCCCACCAUGAGGAUGAGGAGCUGAAGAUGGAGGAGCAGAAGAUGGAGGAGCUCCGAGAGACAGCCGACCAGAGCUUCAUCUCCUCCAGAGGUUUCACCCAAUGGGCGAGUCUCAUACUCAGUAUACACCACACCACCUACUGCUACGAUACACCCACACACUCUUAGAAAAUAGUUGCUAUGUAGGAUCUAAAAGGUUCCUUUGGCUGUCCCCAUAGGGGAACCCUUUUUGUUUGGAUACAGCCAAAGAACCCUUUUGAAACCCUUUUUUCUAAGAGUCCACCGUACUCACAGGUGAAUAUUCCUGUCUUGAUUUGGUGAAGUUCUUCAGGCCAUAGGUAUGGUGAUCUCACAUUAGAGAUGAGAGUUUCUGAAGUCUAUGGUAUUCUAUGUGUAUUGCUGAUUCUCCCUCUAUUUCUCUCUCCCACCCUCAAUCUCUCAGUGUCAAGUCCAGGUGCAUGAAUCACUUGACUACUUGGCCAUGCCAAACCAAGGCAGGGGAUACGGACCUGUUCUGUUUAUUUUUUGUUGUUUGAGUAAAUUUUUCUUUCAAAUGUUCUGUGUCAAUAUAUUUUCUGUAUGUAUAUUUAGAAUUAAUUUGUAUUUGAUUCCAGUAUGUAAUGACUGAUGCUAUGGCAUUUCUUCUAGAAAUCCUUGUUACUGUAAAACCGUGGUCACCAACCAGUCGACUGCGAUUGACUGGUCGAUCUUCAAGGCAUUCCUAGUCUUUCGCCAAACAUUUGUGUAGCAAAGCCAACAAUAAAGCCUUGAGCAAAAAAUAUAUAUACAGUGCCUUGCGAAAGUAUUCGGCCCCCUUGAACUUUGCGACCUUUUGCCACAUUUCAGGCUUCAAACAUAAAGAUAUAAAACUGUAUUUUUUUGUGAAGAAUCAACAACAAGUGGGACACAAUCAUGAAGUGGAACGACAUUUAUUGGAUAUUUCAAACUUUUUUAACAAAACAAAAACUGAAAAAUUGGGCGUGCAAAAUUAUUCAGCCCCUUUACUUUCAGUGCAGCAAACUCUCUCCAGAAGUUCAGUGAGGAUCUCUGAAUGAUCCAAUGUUGACCUAAAUGACUAAUGAUGAUAAAUACAAUCCACCUGUGUGUAAUCAAGUCUCCGUAUAAAUGCACCUGCACUGUGAUAGUCUCAGAGGUCCG
rnacentral:lncRNA from 13 species